rnacentral:sRNA from 1 species
GAUUCUGCCCUACGGGGAAGGAUGAGAAGCUUCGACUAAGGUUCGACUCGAGCGCCAGCGAGAGAACGUUGCCAAGGGCAACGGCACGAAGGGCGAGGAGCGAUAGCGACGAGUUAUCCUUCCCCCACCACCA